rnacentral:misc_RNA from 1 species
CUCAUCCAAAUCCCUCUCUUGCUCUGCAGAAAGCCAGAAACAACUUCAUUUAUCACUCCAAAUUUAUUUAUUCACUGAAAUUCCUAAGGAAAGUUAAAUGAAGAGUGACAAAAUAAGGAUAUAUUGUUUGAAAUUAUUGUAACUUUUCCUUAUUAUUAAAUAGCUACACAAAAAGGGUUAGCUUCACCCAUUCUAACAGUAUUCAAAGUUGUACAAUUGGGCCAUCCCCUUAACCGUGUUUAGCAAAUGAGGUGCACACACGAUAAAACAUUGGAUACCUUUUUUGCUGUGCAUAUUAAACUUUUUUUUACUUCAUACCAAUGUUCCCCAAAAAAAAAAUAAUAAAUCUCGGUCCUAAAGAGAGGCCUUAACUGAAAUCUUAGACAAAAAUAUGAACGAACAGAAUCAAAAUAAAAUGAAAAAAUAAAAUAAAACAAGGCUAUGACUGGUAAUAAAUACAAAUAUGGUAGUUAUGAUAUGUCAUUGUAUCAAGCAGUGAAUUUUUGCACUUGAUUGACAAAAUAAACACAGAGAAAAGGGAAGAUAAAGAAAAGGAAAAUUGAAGCAGCACCCUACACCAAAAUUCAACUGGUGUUCCUAACAGCUAUAAAAUCAGUAUCCACAAGCAACUUUCCUUUAUGCCUUCUUCUAUUUUCUAUGAUUUAGAAUUCUAAAAUCCUUAUGAAUUUUACAUCACUGAACAACAGCCAUAAACAAUUCAAAUAUUCUUCCACUGUAAACAAGCAGAAUAUAAGAAACAAAAAACCAAGAGUAACAAAGUACUAUCGAUCACAACCAGUGCAACACAAGUGCUAAUAUAUAAAUGGAUAACUCCCAAUAACAACCAUAAACAAUUCAAGCGCUAACGAGUGCUAAUGUUGCCAAUUCCAUCGCCCAAAAUCAGAUUUCAUAUUUAUGCAAGCAAUGCAUGACUAUUGGCAUCUUCCACCAUGAUAAAGUCAAGUAACUAUUCCGAGAUAUUUUACAUUACAUUCAGAUCCCAUAAAUAAUUUGGUUCUACUCCAUGUAAGUCUUCACUUAGACAUAUACAAUGAAGGGGGUGAAAUAAAAAAUAAAUAAAUAACAUUUAAAUAAGAAUCAAGUGAAUAAGUUAAGAGGCACCUGCCAAACAUAGUGUAUUUUGUUAAUGACCAAAGGUUCAAUUUAGAGAUAUAGAGAACACAAAGCAACAAGAGAAUCAGAGUCAUCUGCAAACUCAAGCGAAAGAGACAAUUAGGACAAGCCAGUUCUAUGUAAAACCAAAAUUUUCAGAGCUAAUUUUCACUGAGAAGUGGAAAGUAUCAAAGUUAUCCAACAAGUUCCACAGAUAGAAUGUUUAACACGUAAAUUUAACACCUUUUACACUUAAAACUUGCAGGUAAAUGAUCA